rnacentral:rRNA from 1 species
CAUAAUACCGAAACUGUGGAAGAACCUCUUUAGAGGAUCGUGGUAGGAGAGCGUUCUAAGGGCGGUGAAGACAGACCGGAAGGACUGGUGGAGCGCAUAGAAGUGAGAAUGCCGGUAUGAGUAGCGAAAGAAGGGAGAGAAUCCCUACCACCGAAUAUCUAAGGUUUCCUGAGGAAGGCACGUCCGCUCAGGGUUAGACGGGACCUAAGCCGAGGCCGAUAGGCGUAGGCGAUGGACAACAGGUA